CCUACGGGAGGCAGCAGUGGGGAAUAUUGGACAAUGGGGGAAACCCUGAUCCAGCCAUGCCGCGUGUGUGAAGAAGGCCCUCGGGUUGUAAAGCACUUUCAGCGAGGAAGAACGCCUAGCGGUUAAUACCCGCUAGGAAAGACAUCACUCGCAGAAGAAGCACCGGCUAACUCCGUGCCAGCAGCCGCGGUAAUACGGAGGGUGCAAGCGUUAAUCGGAAUUACUGGGCGUAAAGCGCGCGUAGGUGGCUUGAUAAGCCGGUUGUGAAAGCCCCGGGCUCAACCUGGGAACGGCAUCCGGAACUGUCAAGCUAGAGUGCAGGAGAGGAAGGUAGAAUUCCCGGUGUAGCGGUGAAAUGCGUAGAGAUCGGGAGGAAUACCAGUGGCGAAGGCGGCCUUCUGGACUGACACUGACACUGAGGUGCGAAAGCGUGGGUAGCAAACAGGAUUAGAUACCCUGGUAGUCCACGCCGUAAACGAUGUCGACCAGCCGUUGGGUGCCUAGCGCACUUUGUGGCGAANUUAACGCGAUAAGUCGACCGCCUGGGGAGUACGGCCGCAAGGUUAAAACUCAAAUGAAUUGACGG
rnacentral:rRNA from 1 species